rnacentral:sRNA from 1 species
GAUGCCAGGGGCAAAAGGUCUAAACCCACUUGAGCUUGCUCAUAAGUGGGUGCUGGACCUUGGGACCCACCCCGAUAUGAGCAUAAGAGUGGGAUGUGUAUCCCACGAUAUGCGAAUAUUGGGUAGGAUUGUGGGAGUGCGCAGCACGGAACAAUCCGCAGGCAUC